UGAAACGUCAUGAAGAAUUCAUAAAUGUAGGCUUAGCAUCUUGACGCAGACACAGCAUCAGUGAGUAAUUCGGCGAAACCGACGGUCUAUCGUUUUGGUAACAUUGUAGGAUCUAAAUAAAUGAAAAAAUUAAGCAAUAUACAUAUCAGAAAUCAUAUCAGCUUUUAAAAGCAACAAAUAAAAUAAGUUUAUCAGAGGAAGGGAAGUACUAUUCGUAGCAUUCCAAAAACACAAGUUUAAAUAUUAAAAAAUUAAAUUUAAAAAAUCGUACAAUUAAACAAACAUAUCACGCGUUGUAAGCUUUAAUACAUAUAAAAAUUUCAAAAAAGCAAAAAAAAAACUAAAAAGUAAACAUCUUGACAAAUACAUAACCCAGUAUAGUUAUACAUAUGCAUUCAACCGAUUAAGUGGGGUAUUCCCUGUUAACUUUUGCAUAAUUAAACUAGAGAUUAACGUCGUGACAUACAACAACGAAAUAUGUAUCUUCGUUACGGAAAGCCAGCAUAAAUAACUGUGAAAAUACAAAAAAAAAACAUUUGAGUCCCCUGCAUUCAACAAACUCAUAAAUCACCAUACAUAUCAAAUAA